rnacentral:rRNA from 1 species
AGUGAACGCUGGCGGUAGGCCUAACACAUGCAAGUCGAACGGCAGCACAGUAAGAGCUUGCUCUUACGGGUGGCGAGUGGCGGACGGGUGAGGAAUACAUCGGAAUCUACUUUUUCGUGGGGGAUAACGUAGGGAAACUUACGCUAAUACCGCAUACGACCUACGGGUGAAAGCAGGGGAUCUUCGGACCUUGCGCGAUUGAAUGAGCCGAUGUCGGAUUAGCUAGUUGGCGGGGUAAAGGCCCACCAAGGCGACGAUCCGUAGCUGGUCUGAGAGGAUGAUCAGCCACACUGGAACUGAGACACGGUCCAGACUCCUACGGGAGGCAGCAGUGGGGAAUAUUGGACCAUGGGCGCAAGCCUGAUCCAGCCAUACCGCGUGGGUGAAGAAGGCCUUCGGGUUGUAAAGCCCUUUUGUUGGGAAAGAAAAGCAGCAGGUUAAUACCCCGCUGUCCUGACGGUACCCAAAGAAUAAGCACCGGCUAACUUCGUG